CAGUACCUGAAGUCCAGGCAAAGGAGCAGGCAGUUUAAUGUUCAGGAAACUUCGAACCAACUGAUACUCAACAGAAUCCCUGGAGGAACAUAACUAUGGACUUCAAAUGCAUUAGGGCUAAUGUGCAGAAUAAUAAUUGCUGCCGCUCACAGCCUAAUGUUCUAGUGACAGUGAAUCCUUUAAAAGAAUGCCAGCAGGGAACAAUGCCGCCAGAGUGAAAAAGAACAUGUUACAAUAAUGUGGAUAGGAAACUCCCAAGUAGCUCCAAGUGCUGCUAAAGGAAUUACUGGGACAAGAUAAUUCUAAAACAAUAAAUGAAAAUGGUAAUAAUAAUAGUAGUAAUAAUAUUAAUAAAGGGGCGGGGGGUGUUGCUUACCAGAUAUAAAACCAAAGAACACAGCCUGGUACCACUGGUGAAGGCAAUCACCAGUGAUAAUGGAGGCCAGUGAGUUCAAUGUGUCUCAUGGUGUUCAUUUCGUGUAGCUACUGUACAACACAGGAUCUGGAAUAAAAACCUAUUCUCUGCUGACCAAGUCUGAAUUACCGCGGUUACACCCAGGAAGCCUGAGUUCCUAAUGAAGUAUUAUUCUGUUGAUUAAGGGGACCACUGCCAGGCCACAGGCAGCUGCACAGGCCCCGUGGCAAGGAGCAGUGUAUUCAGCGUGGCUCUUCUUCUCG